rnacentral:rRNA from 1 species
CCAAUAGCGUAUAUUAAAGUUGUUGCAGUUAAAAAGCUCGUAGUUGAAUUUCGGGAUCAAUAUUUCGGUCAUGCCGUUGGUAUGCACUGUUAUCAUUGAUUUCUCACCUUCUAAAGAACCGUAAUGCCAUUAAUUUGGUGUUACGGGGAAUUAGGACUGUUACCUUGAAAAAAUUAGAGUGUUUAAAGCAGGCUCACUCUUGAAUACAUUAGCAUGGAAUAAGGAAAUAGGACAUCCGAUUCUAUUUUGUUGGUUUCUAGGAUCGAUGUAAUGAUUAAUAGGGAUAGUUGGGGGCAUUAGUAUUCAAUUGUCAGAGGUGAAAUUCUUGGAUUUAUUGAAGACUAACUACUGCGAAAGCAUUUGCCAAGGAUGUUUUCAUUAAUCAAGAACGAAAGUUAGGGGAUCGAAGACGAUCAGAUACCGUCGUAGUCUUAACCAUAAACUAUGCCGACUAGGGAUCGGAUGAUGUUAAUUUUUUAAUGACUCAUUCGGCGCCUUACG